rnacentral:rRNA from 1 species
UUAAGCGACUAAGCGUACACGGUGGAUGCCCUGGCAGUCAGAGGCGAUGAAGGACGUGCUAAUCUGCGAAAAGCGUCGGUAAGGUGAUAUGAACCGUUAUAACCGGCGAUGUCCGAAUGGGGAAACCCAGUGCAAUUCGUUGCACUAUCGUUAACUGAAUACAUAGGUUAACGAGGCGAACCGGGGGAACUGAAACAUCUAAGUACCCCGAGGAAAAGAAAUCAACCGAGAUUCCCCCAGUAGCGGCGAGCGAACGGGGAGCAGCCCAGAGUCUGAAUCAGCUUGUGUGUUAGUGGAACGGUCUGGAAAGUCCGACGGUACAGGGUGAUAGUCCCGUACACCAAAAUGCACAGGUUGUGAACUCGAAGAGUAGGGCGGGACACGUGGUAUCCUGUCUGAAUAUGGGGGGACCAUCCUCCAAGGCUAAAUACUCCUGACUGACCGAUAGUGAACCAGUACCGUGAGGGAAAGGCGAAAAGAACCCCGGCGAGGGGAGUGAAAAAGAACCUGAAACCGUGUACGUACAAGCAGUGGGAGCACCUUCGGGUGUGACUGCGUACCUUUUGUAUAAUGGGUCAGCGACUUAUAUUCUGUAGCAAGGUUAACCGUAUAGGGGAGCCGCAGGGAAACCGAGUCUUAACUGGGCGUUAAGUUGCAGGGUAUAGACCCGAAACCCGGUGAUUCAGCCAUGGGCAGGUUGAAGGUUGGGUAACACUAACUGGAGGACCGAACCGACUAAUGUUGAAAAAUUAGCGGAUGACUUGUGGCUGGGGGUGAAAGGCCAAUCAAACCGGGAGAUAGCUGGUUCUCCCCGAAAGCUAUUUAGGUAGCGCCUCGUGAAUUCAUCUUCGGGGGUAGAGCACUGUUUCGGCUAGGGGGUCAUCCCGACUUACCAACCCGAUGCAAACUACGAAUACCGAAGAAUGUUAUCACGGGAGACACACGGCGGGUGCUAACGUCCGUCGUGAAGAGGGAAACAACCCAGACCGCCAGCUAAGGUCCCAAAGUCAUGGUUAAGUGGGAAACGAUGUGGGAAGGCACAGACAGCCAGGAUGUUGGCUUAGAAGCAGCCAUCAUUUAAAGAAAGCGUAAUAGCUCACUGGUCGAGUCGGCCUGCGCGGAAGAUGUAACGGGGCUAAACCAUGCACCGAAGCUGCGGCAGCGACACUAUGUGUUGUUGGGUAGGGGAGCGUUCUGUAAGCCUGCGAAGGUGUGCUGUGAGGCAUGCUGGAGGUAUCAGAAGUGCGAAUGCUGACAUAAGUAACGAUAAAGCGGGUGAAAAGCCCGCUCGCCGGAAGACCAAGGGUUCCUGUCCAACGUUAAUCGGGGCAGGGUGAGUCGACCCCUAAGGCGAGGCCGAAAGGCGUAGUCGAUGGGAAACAGGUUAAUAUUCCUGUACUUGGUGUUACUGCGAAGGGGGGACGGAGAAGGCUAUGUUAGCCGGGCGACGGUUGUCCCGGUUUAAGCAUGUAGGCUGGUUAUCCAGGCAAAUCCGGAUAAUCAAGGCUGAGGUGUGAUGACGAGGCACUACGGUGCUGAAGUAACAAAUGCCCUGCUUCCAGGAAAAGCCUCUAAGCAUCAGGUAACAUCAAAUCGUACCCCAAACCGACACAGGUGGUCAGGUAGAGAAUACCAAGGCGCUUGAGAGAACUCGGGUGAAGGAACUAGGCAAAAUGGUGCCGUAACUUCGGGAGAAGGCACGCUGGUGUGUAGGUGAAGUCCCUGCGGAUGGAGCUGAGACCAGUCGAAGAUACCAGCUGGCUGCAACUGUUUAUUAAAAACACAGCACUGUGCAAACACGAAAGUGGACGUAUACGGUGUGACGCCUGCCCGGUGCCGGAAGGUUAAUUGAUGGGGUUAUCCGUAAGGAGAAGCUCUUGAUCGAAGCCCGGUAAACGGCGGCCGUAACUAUAACGGUCCUAAGGUAGCGAAAUUCCUUGUCGGGUAAGUUCCGACCUGCACGAAUGGCGUAAUGAUGGCCAGGCUGUCUCCACCCGAGACUCAGUGAAAUUGAACUCGCUGUGAAGAUGCAGUGUACCCGCGGCAAGACGGAAAGACCCCGUGAACCUUUACUAUAGCUUGACACUGAACAUUGAGCCUUGAUGUGAUAGGUGGGAGGCUUUGAAGCGUGGACGCCAGUCUGCGUGGAGCCAACCUUGAAAUACCACCCUUUAAUGUUUGAUGUUCUAACGUUGGCCCCUGACCGGGGUUGCGGACAGUGUCUGGUGGGUAGUUUGACUGGGGCGGUCUCCUCCCAAAGCGUAACGGAGGAGCACGAAGGUUAGCUAAUCCUGGUCGGACAUCAGGAGGUUAGUGCAAUGGCAUAAGCUAGCUUGACUGCGAGCGUGACGGCGCGAGCAGGUGCGAAAGCAGGUCAUAGUGAUCCGGUGGUUCUGAAUGGAAGGGCCAUCGCUCAACGGAUAAAAGGUACUCCGGGGAUAACAGGCUGAUACCGCCCAAGAGUUCAUAUCGACGGCGGUGUUUGGCACCUCGAUGUCGGCUCAUCACAUCCUGGGGCUGAAGUAGGUCCCAAGGGUAUGGCUGUUCGCCAUUUAAAGUGGUACGCGAGCUGGGUUUAGAACGUCGUGAGACAGUUCGGUCCCUAUCUGCCGUGGGCGCUGGAGAAUUGAGGGGGGCUGCUCCUAGUACGAGAGGACCGGAGUGGACGCAUCACUGGUGUUCGGGUUGUCAUGCCAAUGGCACUGCCCGGUAGCUAAAUGCGGAAGAGAUAAGUGCUGAAAGCAUCUAAGCACGAAACUUGCCCCGAGAUGAGUUCUCCCUGAGACUUUAAGUCUCCUGAAGGAACGUUGAAGACGACGACGUUGAUAGGCCGGGUGUGUAAGCGCAGCGAUGCGUUGAGCUAACCGGUACUAAUGAACCGUGAGGCUUAACCU